GAUGAACGCUGGCGGCGUGCCUAAUACAUGCGAGUCGAGCGAACGGACGAGAAGCUUGCUUCUCUGAUGUUAGCGGCGGACGGGUGAGUAACACGUGGAUAACCUACCUAUAAUACUGGGAUAACUUCGGGAAACCGUAGCUAAUACCGGAUAAUAUUUUGAACCGCAUGGUUCAAAAGUGAAAGACGGUCUUGCUGUCACUUAUAGAUGGAUCCGCGCUGCAUUAGCUAGUUGGUAAGGUAACGGCUUACCAAGGCUACAAUGCAUAGCCGACCUGAGAGGGUGAUAGGCCACACUGGAAGUGAGACGCGGUCAAGACUCCUACGGGAGGCAGCAGUAGGGAAUCUUCCGCAAUGGGCGAAAGCAUGACGGAGCAACGCCGCGUGAGUGAUGAAGGUCUUCGGAUCGUAAAACUCUGUUAUUAGGGAAGAACAUAUGUGUAAGUAACUGUGCACAUCUUGACGGUACCUAAUCAGAAAGCCACGGCUAACUACGUG
rnacentral:rRNA from 1 species